GAGCAGUGGAGAGGGCCUCCAAGCAGGCUAAAGUGGCUGCAGGGGAAGCAGACAAUCAGGGCCCAAGAGGGCCCUAUAAAAAGGAGCUACAGAAUCAGAGACAGGGCAGUUCCUCGAUAGAGCUGGAGCAGUGUGGAUGGGGUGGCUGGCUGAGGGAACUGCAGCAGAAUGGACAGCUCAGUGCUAGUAGGGACUCGGGGAGCAAGGAAGAGUUCCUGGCUGGCUACUGGGCCUAAGCUUAGAAGAGCCCUGAACUAAAGGACUGCUGGACUCUCAGCAUUUUUGAAAAUCAGACAACUUAUGUAGGCACCUAUAUGUGGACUGAGGAACCAAACUUUAGGCAGUUACUUUUUUAAAAAUCUUGACAAUAAUCUUUCAACGAGUCUGCUCCUUUAUCCAGAUCUCUCAGUGGAUCCACAUUCCUUUCAUCCAUCUGCUUAAAACCAAGAGAAGGAAAACAACAGAGAAGAGUGAAAACAGAUAUCCACAGAAAUAUUGGAAAGAAAACAGUUAUCCCCU